rnacentral:ncRNA from 1 species
AAAGGCUUGGUCCUGACUUUACUAACAACUUUAGCUAUACUUACACAUGCAAGUAUCAGCACCCCUGUGAGAAUGCCCCACAACUCCAUUCCCUGGAGCAAGGAGCUGGUAUCAGGCACACAUCCCAUGUAGCCCACGACACCUUGCUCAGCCACACCCUCAAGGGAACUCAGCAGUGAUAAACAUUAAGCCAUGAGUGAAAGCUUGACUUAGUUAAGGCUAAGAGGGCCGGUAAAACUCGUGCCAGCCACCGCGGCUAUACGAGAGGCCCAAGUUGUUAUAUUCCGGCGUAAAGAGUGGUUAUGGAAAAUUAAAAUUAAAGCCGCACACCUUCAAAGCUGUUAUACGCACCCGAAGUCUAGAAGCCCAAUUACAAAAGUAGCUUUAUCCUCCCAGACCCCACGAAAGCUCUGGCACAAACUGGGAUUAGAUACCCCACUAUGCCUAGCCCUAAACAUUGGUAUAACUCUACACAUUUUACCCGCCCGGGUACUACGAGCACCAGCUUAAAACCCAAAGGACUUGGCGGUGCUUUAGACCCCCCUAGAGGAGCCUGUUCUAGAACCGAUAAUCCCCGUUCAACCUCACCCUUUCUUGUUUAUUCCGCCUAUAUACCGCCGUCGUCAGCUUACCCUGUGAAGGUUUAAUAGUAAGCACAACUGGUUUAACCCAAAACGUCAGGUCGAGGUGUAGCGAAUGAAAGGGGAAGAAAUGGGCUACAUUCCCUAAAAAUAGGGAAAACGAAUGACAUACUGAAAUGCAUGUCUGAAGGAGGAUUUAGUAGUAAGUGGAAAAUAGAGCGUCUCACUGAAACUGGCCCUGAAGCGCGCACACACCGCCCGUCACUCUCCCCAAGCUCACCAACUCAAUUAACUUAAAAAGCCCACUAAUGCAAAGGGGAGGCAAGUCGUAACAUGGUAAGGGUACCGGAAGGUGCACUUGGAAAAAC